rnacentral:tRNA from 1 species
UCCCUCGAGCCGGAUUUGAACCAGCGACCUAAGGAUCACCGUUGUAACAUCUACAGUCCUCUGCCAACUGAGCUAUCGAGGG